rnacentral:rRNA from 1 species
UACGUAGGGCGCAAGCGUUAUCCGGAAUUAUUGGGCGUAAAGAGCUCGUAGGCGGUUUGUCGCGUCUGCCGUGAAAGUCCGGGGCUCAACUCCGGAUCUGCGGUGGGUACGGGCAGACUAGAGUGAUGUAGGGGAGACUGGAAUUCCUGGUGUAGCGGUGAAAUGCGCAGAUAUCAGGAGGAACACCGAUGGCGAAGGCGGGUCUCUGGGCAGUAACUGACGCUGAGGAGCGAAAGCGUGGGGAGCAAACAGG